UCUCGAGCCACAAAGCAACCUGGUAGAGGAACUUGAUGUGAUUGAGUUCAUAGAAUUCUCACAUUAAGCUCUCAUAAGCUCUAGACAAUUACCUAACCCUUAAUAUGCUCCACGAGUUUUGUUGUCUAUUUGGGUUGUGCAGGAUUUUGAGGUUUAAGAAGAGUGAGACCGAACAUGCAGGCCACAAGAGUGAACGACUAUGUCAACAUCCAGCUUGGGGGAGGCACCCCCACGUGUAUCUAGAUAAGUAUUACUUUUCUUUCUUGGUUUUAUUACUAGUAUUCGGAAAUAAAUAAAAAAUGCAUAACCAUGAAACCAAACAAAGUUUUUUCUUUUGAGUAAUAUACAAUAGUUUUGUGUAAUCCUAUGUUUUAAAUAAAAUAAAAAGAAAGUUUGAUCCAAGUCUAGGUAAUUGACAAACAUGAUAUGAGAAGGUCUAAGCUACUAUUUAACUUGUUUCAAGUUUCGCUAGAGUUCUAGAGAUUUUAUCUUUUGAAAAUCUAAAAAUUAAAAAAAAAGAGAUCCUGUUUGACAUAAUACCUAGAGUCUUAUAAGAUAUAAAUAUUAAAACUGUGGGCACUUGCUUUGUUCAAGCCAUUGUUAAUUAUUGUAGUUUUGGUUGAGAGAAUUAUCAUGCUCCAAAGAUUAAGAUCUUUUUGUUUUAAAAAUAUAAAAGAUUCACUCUUCUGAAGUAUUAUUGCGUUAGAGGCAUGGGACUAUGCAAAAAUUUGAUUCGAAAAAAAGAAGAGUGAGACAAGAGGUAAAAAUGGACAAGUGUUCGAAGUAGAAUUAGGGAUACAAAGAUACCCGCCUGACUGGAAAAAAAUGGACACGUGUCCAAUAGUAGAAUUAGGGGUACUUGGCACUUGAAAAAAAAGAAGAAAAGAAUGAUAGCCCAUGGUCCCUCUAAUAGGCAAUAUGCCACUAAGAGAUGACAAACUUUUCAAAAAGGUCAAAGGUCUUGAUCUAGGAGUAUGACAUUCCUCUCCCUUGCUCCGAGCAUUGACAUAGCAAAAUGCAAAGUAAGUAUGCUAAAACUUUUAAAGCUCUACUUAUAUAUCUUUCGAGAAGAAGGCAAAUGCCUCAGUUUUAUUUUGGGAACUUACAAAAAAC
rnacentral:lncRNA from 1 species